rnacentral:tRNA from 1 species
CUGAUUAGCUCAGUCAGUUGAGCAUAGCAUUAACAACGCUAGGGUCGUGGGUUCGAUUCCCGUUCAG